UAUACAUGCAAGUCGAGGGAGAUUGUUGGAUUCGUCUGACAUGGAACCGGCGCACGGGUGCGUAACACGUAUGCAACCUACCUUUAACUGGGGUAUAGCUCAGAGAAAUCUGAAUUAAUCCCCCAUAAGACUACGACAUGGCAUCAUGAUGUAGUUAAAGCUCCGGCGGUUAAGGAUGGGCAUGCGGUACAUUAGCUAGUUGGUGAGGUAAUGGCUCACCAAGGCUACGAUGUAUAGGGGGUCUGAGAGGAUGAUCCCCCACACUGGUACUGAGACACGGACCAGACUCCUACGGGAGGCAGCAGUAGGGAAUAUUGGUCAAUGGACGCAAGUCUGAACCAGCCAUGCCGCGUGAAGGAUGAAGGCCCUCUGGGUCGUAAACUUCUUUUAUUAGGGAAGAAAACAUGGGAUGCGUCCCAAACUGACGGUACUUAAUGAAUAAGGAUCGGCUAACUUCGUGCCAGCAGCCGCGGUAAGACGAAGGAUCCAAGCGUUGUCCGGAUUUACUGGGUUUAAAGGGUGCGUAGGCGGAAAAUUAAGUCAGUGGUGAAAGCCCGCAGCUCAACUGUGGAACUGCCAUUGAAACUGAUUUUCUUGAAUAUAGCUGAGGCAGAUGGAAUAUAACAUGUAGCGGUGAAAUGCUUAGAUAUGUUAUAGAACACCGAUUGCGAAGGCAGUCUGCUAAACUAUUAUUGACGCUGAGGCACGAAAGCGUGGGGAGCGAACAGGAUUAGAUACCCUGGUAGUCCACGCCCUAAACGUUGAUUACUCGCUGUUGGCGAUAUACUGUCAGUGGCUAAGCGAAAGCGUUAAGUAAUCCACCUGGGAAGUACGACCGCAAGGUUGAAACUCAAAGGAAUUGACGGGGGCCCGCACAAGCGGAGGAGCAUGUGGUUUAAUUCGAUGAUACGCGAGAAACCUUACCUGGGCUUAAAUGUCAGGUGACCGCUGCCGAA
rnacentral:rRNA from 1 species